rnacentral:lncRNA from 10 species
GAUCAGAAAGUAGGCCUCCGGUAAUGCACAAUGAAGAAGAAAGUGCCCCCUCAACCCUCAAAAUAAUUCAAAUGGCAAGCAAGGCAGAUUGUAAAUGACUUAGUUACUUUGGGCAGUUUUCCAAGAUCAAAGGUGAUGGUGGCAGUGUCCCAGAGAAGGGAAAGCAUGGCAUUCUGGGAGCACAGGGCCAGGAGCACCCGGGUUUGAAUGUCAGCUCCCCGUUUUCCAGCCCUUGGACGUGUUACCUGUCUGGACAUCAGCCUCAGAAUAAUAAUAGCCCUGAGCUUCAGGUUAAGGAAAUCCUCUUAUGAGAUAGAGCUCAGCUCCUCCUGUAGAAGCUGAAAUUCCAGACACUGGACUUCCCAGUCUCCCUUGCCACUAGAUAUGGACACGUGAUCAAGAUUCCACCAAUCAGAUGGUCUUUGAAUCUGCUAGUGACAAAAAGAAAGGAACAUGCCAAAUCCAUUCUGGCAGAUUUAAGACACAAUGGCAGCUACAUCCAGUUCCCAGAGGCAGCAGGGCCAGUGGUUCUAGCAUCGGCAUCCAAGAACACUUGCUGAUGGUGCAGAUGGUGUGAGCUGCAGUGUCCAGGUGCAGUAUGGCUGCUAUGGUGUCCUCAAUGAAUGAAUCCUGCAGUGGAAUUUACAGUGUUGUUCCUGGCUGCACAGUCUUCAAGCCUUUUUCUCUGGAUACUCUAGGAAUUCUUUGAGUUUCCCAGUGUCCUUUCAAU